ensembl:lncRNA
CUAUGAUUCCUAGACCAGCAGUACAAGACUAGAUGACCAUCAUGAUUCCUAGACCUAGACCAGCAGUACAAGACUAGAUGACCACCAUGAUUCCUAGACCAGCAGUACAAGACUAGAUGACCACCAUGAUUCCUAGACCAGCAGUACAAGACUAGAUGACCACCAUGAUUCCUAGACCAGCAGUACAAGAUUAGAUGACCAUCAUGAUUCCUAGACCAGCAGUACAAGACUAGAUGACCAUCAUGAUUCCUAGACCAGCAGUACAAGACUAGAUAACCACCAUGAUUCCUAGACCAGCAGUACAAGACUAGAUGACCAUCAUGAUUCCUAGACCAGCAGUACAAGACUAGAUGACCAUCAUGAUUCCUAGACCAGCAGUACAAGACUAGAUGACCACCAUGAUUCCUAGACCAGCAGUACAAGACUAGAUGACCACCAUGAUUCCUAUUGAAUCGUCUCUUGUCAGCAAUUCAUUUCAUAUUAUUUAUUUAUUCUUUUCACAUUUUGAUAUUUCGUCAAAUAAAAUACAUUAAUUAAUAUUCUCUGGUAUCUGACUGUCGGCUGCAUAGAAUAUAGUAUAGCAUCACAUUUACACUAGAUGUAUACAUGCAUAUUCAAGAGAAGUUAUUACUUGAAGAGAAAUACCUAGAAUGUGUUGGUUAGUCUAUAUGUUGUUAACAUAUUUUAUAAUGUUUACAUAUUUUCUGCUUUACUCAUCUCAUAUGUAUAUACUGUAUUCUAUUCUACUGUAUUUUAAUCUAUGCCACUCUGACCUUGCUCAUCCUAAUACUUUUAUAUUCCUUAAUUCCAUUCUUUCACUUUUAAAUUGUGUGUAUCAUUCGCUAUUAUUGCGCUGUUGCACAAGCAUUUCACUCCAACCGCAAUAACAUCUCCUAUACAUGUGUAUGUGACAAAUAAAAUGUGAUUUGACUUGAUUUAAAGUUGGUUUGGCCAGAACACUACAGUGGGUAUCAUUAUUCUGUAGUUUGAUCACGUUGAAAAUAAGAACCUAAUGUGUAAUUUGACUGACUACUAAUGCUCUUUCAAUUCCAGUCCAUUCACAAAGUAAAACAGAAAUACACUAUUCUCUCCCAUGUUUUUCCAAUGAGGAAAAUGUGCAAUUGGAAUUAUGGUUUAUUUUCUGAAUUGAAAUGGAAUGACCUCCCUGACUGACUAUAAUGCUAGUCACUUCCUGAUACAGACAUCUCCGACUAUGUUUUUAAAGACGUCUGUAACUAUGUACGCUCAAUUUAUCCAAGAGAGUUCAGAGAUGUUUAAUGGAUAAACUUCUAUGUUAUUUCACCACGGUCACCGUCUAGCCAACUGCAUGCUCUGGGCAAUGGUAGUGUUCCACAUUCAGUCAGAGAGUUCUGAUAACUCAGUCAGAGAGUCCUGAUACCUCAGUGAUAAAUUCAGUCCGAGAGUUACGAUAACUCAGUCAGAGAGUUACGAUAACUCAGUGAUAAAUUCAGUCAGAGAGUUACGAUAACUCAGUCAGAGAGUACCGAUAACUCAGUCAGCGAGUACCGAUAACUCAGUCAGAGAGUACCGAUAACUCAGUCAGAGAGUUCCGAUAACUCAGUCAGAGAGUUCCGAUAACUCAGUCAGAGAGUUCCGAUAACUCAGUCAGAGAGUUCCGAUAACUCAGUCAGAGAGUACCGAUAACUCAGUCAGAGAGUACCGAUAACUCAGUCAGAGAGUACCGAUAACUCAGUCAGAGAGUACCGAUAACU